rnacentral:rRNA from 1 species
UACGAAGGGGGCUAGCGUUGUUCGGAUUUACUGGGCGUAAAGCGCACGUAGGCGGAUCGUUAAGUCGGGGGUGAAAUCCUGGAGCUCAACUCCAGAACUGCCUUCGAUACUGGCGAUCUUGAGUCCGGAAGAGGUGAGUGGAACUCCUAGUGUAGAGGUGGAAUUCGUAGAUAUUAGGAAGAACACCAGUGGCGAAGGCGGACUCACUGGUCCGGUACUGACGCUGAGGUGCGAAAGCGUGGGGAGCAAACAG